UGGGAUAAGCCUGGGAAACUGGGUCUAAUACCGGAUAGGAGCGUCCACCGCAUGGUGGGUGUUGGAAAGAUUUAUCGGUUUUGGAUGGACUCGCGGCCUAUCAGCUUGUUGGUGAGGUAAUGGCUCACCAAGGCGACGACGGGUAGCCGGCCUGAGAGGGUGACCGGCCACACUGGGACUGAGACACGGCCCAGACACCUACGGGAGGCAGCAGUGGGGAAUAUUGCACAAUGGGCGCAAGCCUGAUGCAGCGACGCCGCGUGAGGGAUGACGGCCUUCGGGUUGUAAACCUCUUUCAGUAGGGAAGAAGCGAAAGUGACGGUACCUGCAGAAGAAGCACCGGCUAACUACGUGCCAGCAGCCGCGGUAAUACGUAGGGUGCGAGCGUUAUCCGGAAUUAUUGGGCGUAAAGAGCUCGUAGGCGGUUUGUCGCGUCUGUCGUGAAAGUCC
rnacentral:rRNA from 1 species